GGGUGCGAUCAUACCAGCACUAAUGCACCGGAUCCAAACAGAACUCCCAAGUUAAACGUGCUUGGGCGAGAGUAGUACUAAGAUGGGUGACCUCUUGGGAAGUCCUCGUGUUGCACCCU
rfam:Ricinus communis cultivar Hale ctg_1100012362466, whole genome shotgun sequence.